GAUGAACGCUGGCGGCGUGCCUAAUACAUGCAAGUCGAGCGAACAGACGAGGAGCUUGCUCCUCUGACGUUAGCGGCGGACGGGUGAGUAACACGUGGAUAACCUACCUAUAAGACUGGUAUAACUUCGGGACACCGGAGCUAAUACCGUAUAAUCUCUUGAACCGCAUGGUUCAAUAGUGAAAGACGGUUUUGCUGUCACUUAUAGAUGGAUCCGCGCCGCAUUAGCUAGUUGGUAAGGUAACGGCUUACCAAGGCAACGAUGCGUAGCCGACCUGAGAGGCGGAUCGGCCACACUGGAACGUAGACACGGACCAGACUCCUAAGGGAGGCAGCAGUAGGGAAUGUUCCGCAAUGGGCGAAAGCCUGACGGAGCAACGCCGCGUGAGUGAUGAAGGUCUUCGGAUCGGAAAACUCUGUUAUGAGGGAAGAACAAAUGUGUAAGUAACUAUGCACGUCUUGACGGUACCUAAUCAGAAAGCCACGGCUAACUACGUG
rnacentral:rRNA from 1 species